CAGCUGUAUCCCAUAUUUGAAACUUGAUUGUGCUGUUGUCAACUGUUAGACUUUUCGACAUAAAAGAAGCUCUGGAAUACAAAUACAUAUCCAAUCAUAAUGAGGAAUAUCAUCCAGCGAUUUCCCCAGACAUUGGUCCAGCUUGUGGGCGUGUGACGUGGAAACUGGCUAUAACUCAAAACUGGAGAUAAGAACAUUGGAAGGAACCCAUUUCAAGUAAGUGAGACUCCCAAC